GUGCUUGCUUUGGCAGCACGGGUACUAAAGUUGGAAUGAUGCACAGAUUAGCCUGGCCCCCGUGCAAGGGUGACACACAAAUUCGUGCAAUGUUCCAUCUUUUU